rnacentral:misc_RNA from 1 species
AAGCUCAAAUCUGUCCCAUGUAUUUGUACCUUCUCCACAAGGAGACUUUCUAGUGGUGAUGUUAAGGACCUUUGUGGGCAUUCUCACUGGUCCCUUCACCCUGAGCCUCUUAUCCUUGGCACCACGAACCAAAUCAGCGCACACUUUCUCGAGAUUCUUAACGUUCUUGGAGGAGAGAGUGAUCCUAAUCUUGUGAACCAUCUCUGCAGGCUCCUCAAGCCCAGGCUUGGUUGGCUUCAUUGCUGCAUAUGCUGCCAUCUUUCUGAGAGUGGAGAGAAAAUGCUCAGAAUUCUGCGACGGCGAAGAGGGCUGCUUAAACUUCUAGCACUGGGAAGCUUCUG